GAUGGCGGAGGAAAGGGGUAAAUGUGCGUUCAGUUGUGAUCAGCAUGAUCUCGACACCAAAAUAACGAUUACCGUUAUUUCUAAAUUGGCCCUGAAAUAACGAAUAUCAUAAUUUCAGUGCAUGUCUGAGACCUUCGGGCUCGAAGCUUGGGAACUAGUAUUCAGGGAAAGAUAAAAUGGCGGCUUACGGCGGCGAAGGUGGUCAUUAUCCAUUACUUUUGGAAGUCGAUGCUGAUGAGAAAGAAAAAAUGUUUAUGAUUAUUUCUUCUCUCGAACAUUUUACUAUUUAGGUACCAAAUAAUCUUGAUACUGAAGAUCAUUGCAUCCAUUAUGAAAAAAUUAUCCUUGAUUGCUUUGUCAACUGGAAUGUAUAAUGUAAUAUACCUUGUGAUUUGUGGGAUUUUCACAAGUAAACUAGAAAUACUUGAAGAGGGUAAUGAUGUACUUAAUGCAGAGCAUUUGGUACAAAGUCUGCUUUGCUGUAAUCUACCUGAAGGUGCUUUUUAUAUGCUAGCUAGACUUGCACAGCCCAGUCAAAAUGUUUUUGAGUAGUAGACAAGCUGGCCAUACCUCUUCCUGAAAAGCAGUCUGAAAAAUGUGAAGUUAGCGGAAGGUACUUCAUUGUAGGCGGCCAAAUUGUAAGCUGCCAGCCCAUUUUGAGUGAGCAGUAAAACUCAAGAUUGGCUAUUUUAGCUAAUUUUAUUGAGAACCAAAUUCCCAGCAACGGGCACAAUUUUACUGGGCUAUUUGUUAUUUAACUACUUAGUAAUAUUCUUAUUAAAAUUUACUGCAUUCCUUUCUAAUAA